rnacentral:rRNA from 1 species
GACGGAGGAUGCAAGCGUUAUCCGGAAUGAUUGGGCGUAAAGCGUCCGCAGGUGGCAGUUCAAGUCUGCUGUCAAAGACCGGGGCUUAACUUCGGAAAGGCAGUGGAAACUGAACAGCUAGAGUAUGGUAGGGGCAGAGGGAAUUCCUGGUGUAGCGGUGAAAUGCGUAGAGAUCAGGAAGAACAUCGGUGGCGAAGGCGGGUCUCUGGGCCGUAACUGACGCUGAGGAGCGAAAGCAUGGGGAGCGAACAGG